rnacentral:lncRNA from 1 species
GUUAGUAUAGAGAAUAAAACAAAAACAUGGGUGUAUGAAUUAAUGUGAUUGGCCAAGGAAGUGCUAAACAAGUUGAAACAAAGGAAAAUAUUGCUAUGGUUGCAACAGAGGUGUGCUAAAAUUAAUUGAUAAAUCAAUUUGGGCUUUUGACCCAAGAGGCUUUGUUGACCGAGCAUGAGCAUCACGGCAAUUGGAGAAGAGGUUUCCAACUAGGCCAUAGGAUUAUUAUAUAUUGAAAGGCAUCAGCACAGAAAAAAGAUAUAUAGCCGCACAGGAGUAUCACGUUUUGGAGGCAGCAUCACAUUUUUUUGGAACCAAGAGUUGGUUUCUUUGAGACAUAGCAUUUUUAGAGAGAAACAUAAAGCAAGGUAGUUAAGAGUAGAUUUAACACAAGAUUUGUUGAGACAUCAUGGAUCUAGACAUAGAAUCUUCAUCUCUUUUCUUCAUCCUUUGUAAAGCUAUCAUAGACAUAUGUAGUUACAUCUACUCUUGUGGAUUUGAGGUAUUCAAACAAGCUAUUACGUAAACUCUUGAUCUUUUAAUACAUGGUUCUAGCUUAUUUAUUCAAUAUUGUUGUUAUUCUUGUAUUUAAUGCUUUAUUGAGAUUCAAAAUGAUAUUGAAAAAUGCUUUUGAAUCUAAGAAAUAGAAUAACAAUCUAUCUUAAGUUAUCACUCUAGACAUAGAUGUUAAUCUUUGAUAAUCACUUAUAAUCUAGAACUUAAUGUUUUUGGGUCGUUUAAUAGAUUGAGAAAUCGUCGAUUAAACGAUCUAAUCGACUUUGUGAUUGUGUAAUAGUUUGGGAUAUCGAAUUUUAAAUAGUCCCUUGGAAAUCACGACACAAUUUGGACACGAAUGAUGAUGUUGAGUGAUUGUGAUAAUAUCGUUUAAAAAGUUAGAAUCCGUUAUUUGAUCGAGAGGUUGCAGUUGUUACGCUUGGUUGAGUGUCUCUGACCCCAAGCGGAAUGACCCUAUCUCUUCUCUAUUUAUUUUAUGUCAAAUAGUUUAUAUAGGUUUACACAAACAAACAUUUUAAAUCCAUACACUUAGAACAAUAUUGAUUUUUGAAUGGCUUGAAUAUCAUGCUAGUCCCUAUGGAGACGAUAUACACAAAAAUACUUACUUUUGAUUGAUAGAAAAAUACUACAUCAAAAUGGCGCCGCUGCCGGAGACUGGCGAUUAGAUAUUUUAAACAUCGCGACAAUUUGUAUUGUUUUGAGCAUCUAUAUAUAUUCUGUAAAUAUUUUUCGCUAUUGUAUAGUUGUUUGCACUAACCCCUCUUUGGUAUACAAAGAAAAAUUUCUUGUUAGUUAUAUCCGUUUCAGAUUGAAGUAGUGAUGAUGGUUGCAGAGAAAAAGGAAGAGUUGAUUAGCAAGGAAGAAUUAUGUGAACAAAAGAGGAAGAAUGUAUUUCUAUUUGGUAAAAAAAAAAAAGUGAAAAGAUGGACACAAAAAAAAAAAAUCAAAGUCCACAUCAGUUUCUUUUUUUUCUUCCAAUAAAUCGUAUUUGUCAGUUGUGUCAGUUGAACUUUUAAUUGUUGUGUUAUUUAGUUGGAUAACUCAGUGUACCCCCUGUUAGGUAAUUGAAUCUAAACUUGUUUAUUAUUGAUGGAUUUGCUUGUUUAUUGACUUUUUACAGUUUAGUAACAAUUGUGUAGUCAAGAGGUAUUCCAGAAGUUCAUAAGGAGGCAGUGACUUGAAAUUCAAAGGCGAAGUGUACGACAUAUGUGAUAGGUAGUCACAACUCUCAGAAAUCUAACAAUGUAAGGUUCAUAGCCAAAUUUUAUUUUUCAAUUUACUUAUAUAGAAUGUUCCGUGCAACUACAUUUCUAGAACUUGCAUUGUUUCUUUAUUAUUGAUUGGUCUUUGUCAUUUACACAUUGAGGCGAAAGUGCUUGGUCCUGUGAGCCUUUGAAGCCUACCCUUAUUUAAUUUGAAAUUAUCCUUUUUGAAAGACAAAUUGAGCCGGUAUGUUUAGAUCUUUUUGUUCGGUGACAAACUACAUAUUUAGCCUAGAGACUUUUAGGAUUUAACCCAAAAUGUUAUAUUUGAGUUAGGCUGAGUAGGGUGUUGCUAAACAAUGAGUUUGGGGUUGCUUUUGGAAUUUGCAACCAACUAAGUUUCAGGUGGGGUACUAGAGAACAAAGAACAGAGCAUGAAAAAUAUACACAAAAAUGGUGUACUAAAAAAACAAAAAGAGAGAGCAAACGAGAAUGAAAAGAAGAAGGUGACAAACGAAGAAAAAUCUGAGUAAUUUCAAACUCGAUUGUCCCGAUAGUUACAAAUAAUCUCUAGUACCUUUACAAUUGUUGUUUCAAAGGGUGAAUGAGGGAUUUAAUCUUUGCUUUAAUUUCCGUAGGAGUUCCUAACUCAAAUUUCGUGUAGCCUACUUAUCCAAAUAUUAUCCCACAUUUACAUAAGCCUCGUUAUAACCCUUAAAGACCUCAAAGUGUGUAAUGACAAUGAUUUUGAUUGACGUUUAGAAACUUUUCAAGUGUAUGGUAAUAUAUAGACCUACAUGUCGACUGUGUGUGAAACCUUAUCAAAUUGUUGAGUGGAGUUGUGUAUGGUGGAUGCAAGCAAAUCAAACUAAUUCAUUUUUAGCUAGUAGGGAGAUGAACUUUUGGGUACUAUCGCUUGAUUAGGUAAUUGUUAUUUUAUUGUCGAUUGUCAAUAUUACAAGUGAAUUCCUUGAGGACAAGGAAUGAUUCAAGUUUGAGGUUGUGAUGACAGUCAGUCAUACACUAUUUUUAGAGUCUUUUUAAUUAAAGUUUAGUCUACUUUUAUUAGUUUAGCAUUUAAUUUAGAGUCAUUUUAAAUUAAUUAUCGUUUGUUAUUUAUUAAGUCAAGUAGUGUAGUUUUAUUAUUGCCUUAAAUAUGCAAUCCGUGCCUGUAAAAGAUUUUUUGUUUUAAAAAGGUCCCUGGCCCCACUAUUCAGUUGAAGUGGCAUGGUUUUGGCCACGUGGCAGUUGCUGACUGUGCAACUUUUGCCACGUGGCGCUGACGUGGCAUGCCACAUAAUUAAUUUUUAUUUAUUUUUUUCAAAAUUCUAAAAAUUCAUUUUUUAAAUUAAAAAAUCCGAAAAUAAAUAUAAAAAUCAUAAAAAAAUUAAAAAAUCGGAAAAAAUAUGAAAAUUAAAUUUUUAGAUUUUUAAUUAAUUUUUUUCUUCAAAAUACUGAAAAUUCAUUUUUUUUAAAUUUAAAAAAUCUGAAAAUAAUUUAAGGUCAAAAUAAUUUAAUUUAAUUUUUCAAAAAUUUAUUUCUAGAUUUAAAAAACACUAAUUCCCAAUUUUUUUCUUCAUAUUUUAAAAAAAAAAAUAGGAAUUUUUUUAUGAUUUUUUAAUUUUAAAAAAUAAUUUUCAGAUUUUAAAAAAAAAUUGAAUUUUUAAUGACGUGGACUGCCACGUGGCAAAAGUUACACAUUCAGCAACUGCCACCUGGCCAAAACCAUCCCAUGUCAGCAAAAAAGUGGGGCCAGGGACCUUUUGAAAACAAAAAAAUUUUUGCCGGGAUGUUUUUAAAACUUUUUUUUUUUCAAGGACGAAAAUCAAAACGCGUCCAAAUUAUAGGGACGGAUUGCAUAUUUAAGCCUUUAUUAUUAUUGUUCAAUUAAUAUGGUUAGUAUAGAGAAUAAAACAAAAACAUGGGUGUAUGAAUUAACGUGAUUGGCCAAGGAAGUGCUAAACAAAGGAAAAUAUUGCUAUGGUUGCAAAAGAGGUUUCCUCCAUAUGGUUCUUUUGGUUUAGAUUUUCAUAUUAUAACCAAUGAUGAAAUCUAGUUUAGCUGGAUGUCUAUAAAUAAUCAUUGGCUUCAGCAAAAAGGAGUUUAAGUGUAUGGUUUUUUCAAAAAAAAA